GGAGAGGAAUAUCACGCACGUCUAUCGCGAGACAGGAGAAUUGAUUGUCGUUCUGUCUGCAUACAACGGGUUGAAUUCAGUCACCAUCAACAAAACUGUCAACAUCAUUGAUCGAAUCGAGAGUGCCCAUAUUUCAAUGACAUAUCCGCCAGCCUCUAUUCUGGGUGAUGUGACGUCAUUCGAUAUCACUUUGGCUCAAGGGUCACAGGUUAAUUGCGUCAUAGAUAUUGGAAACGGGACCACUAUAUCCGUAGAUAACGUGGGUCGCAGGUACAGGCGCAUCGAAAACCGGCAGUGUGCGGGCCAAAUACUAAAGAAUAUUACGGGUAACAUUACCGCGGAGGAGUGCAUGGAUGUGUGUGAUGAAACACCGUAUUGUAUUACUUUGGAGCACUCGCACGAUAACAGCUUGUGUCGCCUCUUCUCAGAACGGUGCAAUGCAAGCACACAGUCACUAACAGAAAGCAGUUACGAUGCGA